UACGGGAGGCAGCAGUGGGGAAUUUUGGACAAUGGACGCAAGUCUGAUCCAGCCAUGCCGCGUGCGGGAAGAAGGCCUUCGGGUUGUAAACCGCUUUUGUCAGGGAAGAAAUCUUCUGGGUUAAUACCUCGGGAGGAUGACGGUACCUGAAGAAUAAGCACCGGCUAACUACGUGCCAGCAGCCGCGGUAAU
rnacentral:rRNA from 1 species